ACAGCUCUCACAACUGGAGAAGCCUGGGAAGCAUGCAGUACUCCACAAAACCGGUUUCAACGUAAAAUGUGUCUGCAUCUCAUAAUUUCAUGGCUGCAAGAGUGAGCUCAAUGCCUGUCGAGACAAGGUUUCUUUACAUGGCCAUGGCGCUCAAGGAUGAAACCGAGACUGUAGACUGCCAACGUUCAUUCCUGUUCCGGCAAAGACGGGCCAGCAGUAACCAGCAGGAUUUUACAAAGUGAACUCAUCACAGCUUGAGCCACUCCAUGCCACAAGCAGUUGCUCCUCGAGCCACCGUGAAAAGGUUCCUUGGGGCACAAGUCCAACUCAGCGCCACAACCUUUCUUCUGCAGUUUUUCUACCUACUUAGCUAACCAGCAGCAAGUUUAUCCUUGCAAGGCAUGUGGGAACAGCUUUCACCAGGAAACAGUGCAAGACGAGUGGUCGAAGAAAAUAAAAUUGCUUCUGUGAUCUAAAGUACUUGACGAAUAAAAUUUUGCACUUAUUUGUAUAUAUGUCGUGCAAUUCAUUCAUAUCACAAAAAGCAAAGUGUUUGAUCUUUUGAGCUAUUUCAAUGUGUUGGCCAGACAGUUUUCUCCAUAGCGACCUGCUGCUUCUGCAAUGAGCUGCAUUCAUGACAUUUGCAUUAAAGGAUAUGUACUAUCGGGGACAAAAGUGCCCAGGACGUGCGAGUGUCGACCAAAUUGCAUCUCUGCACUAUCAGCCGCUAUCAUCUGCGUUGCAGACCA